rnacentral:rRNA from 1 species
UACGAAGGGGGCUAGCGUUGCUCGGAAUUACUGGGCGUAAAGGGCGCGUAGGCGGAUAGUUUAGUUAGAGGUGAAAGCCCAGGGCUUAACUCUGGAAUUGCCUUUAAGACUGCAUCGCUAGAAUCGUGGAGAGGUGAGUGGAAUUCCGAGUGUAGAGGUGAAAUUCGUAGAUAUUCGGAAGAACACCAGUGGCGAAGGCGACUCACUGGACACGUAUUGACGCUGAGGUGCGAAAGCGUGGGGAGCAAACAGG